GUGAGUUUGGCUUGUUAGCUCUCUUUGAUUAUUUAAUACAAAGUGAGCUGGAUUUGGUAACAUGUUGAAUGACUUGAUUUUUCCUCAGUCUGUAGAGACUGUAGCUGACGUAAUGAAAAGACCAUUUUAUAUGGAUUCUAGAAGAGCUAAAGAUUUUGGGGUCAUUGACAAAAUUCUUUGGCGUGGUCAGGAAAAGAUAAUGGCAGAUGUUGUCCCUCCAGAAGAAUGGGACAGGAUGGCCGGCAUUAAAAUUGCAGAUCCAUUCUAGCGUUGCUUUAGAACUAGUUGUAAUGCUAGUUUUGGUGCAGCUCCAUGGGAAUAGGACUCUGUCUGGCGUUAAAGUUGCAGAUACAAUAGUUUUCAUUCCUUUCUGAUGGUGUAAUGUUUUCAUGGGAAUAAGCUUUUUCAAACAGGUUGUAAUGCUGGUUGUGGUGCAAAGGUGCACCAAGUUAUCAUGGAUAAAGCUAGAUAGGGCGAUAUUAAAGACCUGUGAGGAAGAUGAUUUACUAGAGGGGUGGAGAUCCUUGUAGUGGGAACCAUGAAUUUUACCUGUAGCUUUCAAAAAUAUUAGUUCUGUAAAAUUUUAUCGAUGAUCUUAAGGUUAAAUCAUAAACCGGUUUCUG
rnacentral:misc_RNA from 1 species